GACGAACGCUGGCGGCGUGCUUAACACAUGCAAGUCGAACGGUGAAGCGCCUUCCUUUUUGGUGGGUGUGGAUGAGUGGCGAACGGGUGAGUAACACGUGAGUAACCUGCCCCCUUCUUCUGGAUAACCGCAUGAAAGUGUGGCUAAUACGGGAUAUUCUGGGUCUGUCGCAUGAUGGGUCUGGGAAAGAUAUUGUUUCGGUGGGGGAUGGGCUCGCGGCCUAUCAGCUUGUUGGUGGGGUGAUGGCCUACCAAGGCGGAGACGGGUAGCCGGCCUGAGAGGGUGGACGGUCACACUGGGACUGAGACACGGCCCAGACUCCUACGGGAGGCAGCAGUGGGGAAUAUUGCACAAUGGGCGCAAGCCUGAUGCAGCGACGCCGCGUGAGGGAUGGAGGCCUUCGGGUUGUGAACCUCUUUCGCCAGUGAAGCAGGCCUGCCUCGUUUGUGGGUGGGUUGACGGUAGCUGGAUAAGAAGCGCCGGCUAACUACGUG
rnacentral:rRNA from 1 species